rnacentral:rRNA from 1 species
UACGUAGGGUGCAAGCGUUAUCCGGAUUUAUUGGGCGUAAAGGGCUCGUAGGCGGUUCGUCGCGUCCGGUGUGAAAGUCCAUCGCUUAACGGUGGAUCCGCGCCGGGUACGGGCGGGCUCGAGUGCGGUAGGGGAGACUGGAAUUCCCGGUGUAACGGUGGAAUGUGUAGAUAUCGGGAAGAACACCAAUGGCGAAGGCAGGUCUCUGGGCCGUUACUGACGCUGAGGAGCGAAAGCGUGGGGAGCGAACAGG